GACGAACGCUGGCGGCGUGCUUAACACAUGCAAGUCGAACGGGAAGGCCCUGCUUUUGUGGGGUGCUCGAGUGGCGAACGGGUGAGUAACACGUGAGUAACCUGCCCUUGACUUUGGGAUAACUUCAGGAAACUGGGGCUAAUACCGGAUAGGAGCUCCUGCUGCAUGGUGGGGGUUGGAAAGUUUCGGCGGUUGGGGAUGGACUCGCGGCUUAUCAGCUUGUUGGUGGGGUAGUGGCUUACCAAGGCUUUGACGGGUAGCCGGCCUGAGAGGGUGACCGGCCACUUGGGGACUGAGAAACGCCCGAGCCCCCGGGGGGGGGAAGGGGGGGGAAAUUUGGCAAAAGGGGGGGAGGCCUGAGGCAGCAACGCCGGGGGGGGGAUGAGGGCUUUGGGGUUGAAAACCUUUUCCCCUUGUGAGGAAGGGGGAGGGAGGGAAAGGGAAAAAGAAGCACGGGCAAACUACG
rnacentral:rRNA from 1 species